GGAGGAAUGAAAUAAAUAAAUAAAUAAAUAAAUAAAUGCCUCUGAAAAAGAAACUAAGCCCUGAAGUGAAGAGCUUCAUUUACACGUGUCCCUUUCUCAGCCUCGGGCUCCAUGUCCCAGCAGAACUGGUUGCAGCGUUUCAGUAUGGCGAAGCGUCUGGGAACAUAUUGGCCCUGACAUAAAGGAUGGAUAUGUUAAUACACUGGAGAGUGUGAGCGAAUUUGGACAAAAGCCACCACCGCUGCUAUUCUGGCGAAGCCAUUCUAUAGCCAGCCAAGCACAGCCUUCCCUAAAAGAGGAGGAAGACAUUAUUCAGCGUCUGUCCUUGUGAUGUGGAGCCUCAGAGACCAUGGCUGAGCAGUUAAAGGAACAGAAGACGAACGUCAUUGUCACCCAGAACAGGUUCCUCAUGUACAACGUCUAUAAUGGGGUCACAGUGGAGGAGACGAUAUCAUGUGUAGGGUCAUUUGGAAAUGUUUGCUAAUAGUCAAUAGAUUUUCCCCUACUAAAUCAAUUGAAUUCCUUCUGUUUAUAUCCAUCCUUACGGCCGUCCUCCGGAAGAUGUCGUGCAGAUGAUCACAGUCAAUUUCCAUCAGAUUUUCCUGGCUAACUA